rnacentral:rRNA from 1 species
CCUACGGGAGGCAGCAGUGGGGAAUCUUGCGCAAUGGGCGAAAGCCUGACGCAGCGACGCCGCGUGAGUGAUGAAGGCCUUCGGUUGUAAAGCUCUGGGGGAGAACUUCCGGUAUCUCCUUAGCAAGCACCGGCUAACUCUGUGCCAGCAGCCGCGGUAAGACAGAGGGUGCAAACGUUGUUCGGAAUUACGGGCGUAAAGCGCAUGUAGGCGGUCUAGCAGGUCGGAUGUGAAAGCCCUCGGCUCAACCGAGGAAGUGCAUUCGAAACCGCAAGACUCGAGUCCCGGAGAGGGUAGUGGAAUUCUCGGUGUAGAGGUGAAAUUCGUAGAUAUCGAGAGGAACACCGGUGGCGAAGCGGCUACCUGGACGAGACUGACGCUGAGAUGCGAAAGCGUGGGGAGCAAACAGGAUUAGAUACCCUUGUAGUC